GCAGUCCAGGAAUAUUAGUCAAUGCUCGCAAGAGUGAACUAGCUAACUGAAAUUAUAAUUACUCGGGGGACCGGGAGAAAAUGUAAUAACGUAAUGGGCUGUGAAAAGUUUUAGAAUAAAGGAAAUAAAAACUCCUUUAAACCUAAAAAUGAUGAAAUUCCCUAAAUUGUAUAAAUUAAUAAGGAAAAAGUAAAAAAAAAGUAGCAGGACAAAAAAUUGAUAUCACCAUUACUAUUAGUGCUGUCCAAAGCUGGUGCCAGAAGACUCGGUAAGGCCAGAAGCGCGCACGUUAGUCACAUUAAACAGGCGUAAAGGGUGUGUAGGCGGCUUUUCAAAACCAAUCUUUUAAGUUAACUACUUUAUAAUAUUAAUAAAUAUUAUACUGCAUAAAAAAAGAAAGGUGACUAAAAGCUAGAAUCUAAUCGAGGUUAAACAAAAUAAUACUUAGUGGAGGGAUUAAAUCUGUAGAUAUUAAGGGGAAUACUAAUAGGUGUAAGCUUUUUUCCAUUAAUGAUUGACGCUGAGACACGAAGGCGGGAAAAGGAAAUAGGAUUAGAUACCCAAAGUACCUCUCGCAGUCAACGAUGUAUGGUUUUCUAGGUAGUUCUAAGAACUGCUAUUGACGCUAACGCUCUAACCAUACCGCCUUGCGAGUACGGUUGCAAAACUGAAACCAAAAAAAUUAGUCGGCCUCGGAGCAAACGAAGUGAAGCAUGUUAUUUA
rnacentral:rRNA from 1 species